rnacentral:rRNA from 1 species
UACAGAGGUCUCAAGCGUUGUUCGGAUUCAUUGGGCGUAAAGGGUGCGUAGGCCGCACGGUAAGUCAGAGGUGAAAUCCCGGAGCUCAACUUCGGAAUUGCCUCCGAUACUGCCGUGCUUGAGGACUGGAGAGGAGAUUGGAAUUCACAGUGGAGCAGUGAAAUGCGUAGAUAUUGUGAGGAACACUAGUGGCGAAGGCGAAUCUCUGGACAGUUCCUGACGCUGAGGCACGAAGGCCAGGGGAGCAAACGGG